AGUGAACGCUGGCGGUAGGCCUAACACAUGCAAGUCGAACGGCAGCACCGUAAGAGCUUGCGCUUACGGGUGGCGAGUGGCGGACGGGUGAGGAAUACAUCGGACUCUACUUUUUCGUGGGGGAUAACGUAGGGAAACUUACGCUCAUACCGCAUACGACCUACGGGUGAGAGCAGGGGAUCUUCGCACCUUGCGCGGUUGAAUUCGCCGCUGUCGGACUAGCUAGUUGGCGGGGUAAAGGCCCACCAAGGCGACGAUCCGUAGCUGGUCUGAGAGGAUGAUCAGCCACACUGGAACUGAGACACGGACCAGACUCCUACGGGAGGCAGCAGUGGGGAAUAUUGGACAAUGGGCGCAAGCCUGAUCCAGCCAUACCGCGUGUGUGAAGAAGGCCUUCGGGUUGUAAAGCCCUUUUGUUGGGAAAGAAAAGCAGCAGGUUAAUACCCCGCUGUUCUGACGGUACCCAAAGAAUAAGCACCGGCUAACUUCGUG
rnacentral:rRNA from 1 species